rnacentral:lncRNA from 1 species
GUAACGGGCGGCAGAAGAGCGUGUCUGCGCAGGCGCGAGGUAGCUCACUGUAUGCCUGUGGCCGCCAUGACACUUUACGCUGCAGCUUGCAUCUGAGAUAUAUUCUUUCCUCAGUCCGCAUCCUAUCCUUCCGGGCCGGAGCCAUCCAGGUAUGGGCCGAGGGAGGCGGAAGGCUGGCUUCCUGUCGUCAGCCCCCGCAUCCUAUCCGUCCCGCCCCGCGCCAUCCAGGUAUGGGCCACGGGAGGCGGAAGGCUGGAUGACUCUGGUCCGCCGUCCUUGGGCCCCCUUCUGCCGGGCGGCCCAGAAUCCCGUAGGCUUCGCCGGCACCGCGCUCGUUCCGGUGACCGCAUCGGGGACUCCGGGCUGCGCUAGCAGCUGGCGCGUCUCCUGCCGGCCGGA